rnacentral:lncRNA from 1 species
UUUUUUUUUCCAACCUCGGAAUUUUGAAGUAAUUUUCUUUUUUUUUUUCCAACCUCGGAAUUUUGAAAAAAUUUUCCUUUUUUUUCCCAACCUCGGCCUUUUGAAAAAAUUUACAUUUUUUUUUUCCAACGUCGGAAUUUGGAAAAAAAUUUCAUUUUUUCUUUCCAAUCUCGUAAUUUUGGAAAAAUUUUCAUUUUUUUUUCCAACCUCGGAAUUUUGGAAAAAUUUUCAUUUCUUUUUCCAACCUCGGAAUUUU